rnacentral:rRNA from 1 species
AUUGAACGCUAGCGGGAUGCUUUACACAUGCAAGUCGAACGGAGUGGCGGACGGGUGAGUAAUAUAUCGGAACGUGCGCAGUAGCGGGGGAUAACUACCCGAAAGAGUGACUAAUACCGCAUACUAUAGGAUCGGGCGAUAUCGGAUUAGCUAGUUGGUGGGGUAAAGGCUCACAAAGGAAACGCUCCGUAGCUGGUUUGAGAGGACGACCAGCCACACUGGGACUGAGACACGGCCCAGACUCCUACGGGAGGCAGCAGUGGGGAAUUUUGGACAAUGGGGGAAACCCUGAUCCAGCCAUCCCGCGUGUAUGAUGAAGGCCUUCGGGUUGUAAAGUACUUUUGGCAGAGAAGCGGUAUCUGCAGAAUAAGCACCGGCUAACUACGUGCCAGCAGCCGCGGUAAUAC